AUGGUCCUUCGAGAUAUUAGGGAUAUGUUGCAAUCCAUGGGAAAGGAUAUUAAAAGCUAUGGACUUCCGGAUCUGGUUGAGACCGAUGGUUCUUAUGAUAGUGAGUACAGAGAGGUAACAAAGGAGAGGCAGAUCACUGCGGACAAAGAACAUCUAGAUCUAUUUAGCAGUUUGAACAAUGAGCAGCUAGCUGGUUUCAAUGACAUAAUUUCAUGUGAUGAACAAAAAAGACAGAUAUUCUUUGUUGAUGGUCCAGGAGGCACUAGGAAGACAUACCUGUACAAGGCAUUGCUUGCAAAGGUGCGUUCCAUGAGCCAAAUAGCAAUCGCAACUGCUACAUCUGGUAUUGCAGCAUCGAUAAUGCCUGGAGGACAGACAGCACACUCUCGGUUCAAAAUUCCAAUC
rnacentral:rRNA from 1 species